rnacentral:lncRNA from 10 species
UCCUCAAAUAUGUGAGGGGAAGGGAGCGGUGACUUCCUAAAGGAAAGUAUUUAUAUUUUUAGACUGAAAUAGGCUGUUACAAAGCUUUUCUCCAAAAACACAUUUAAAAAAGGAGUGUUCUAAACAAUAGAAAAUGUAUCUUAACGCAUAGUUAAGGAGCACCAAGAAAAUGCUUCUGGAUGUUGGAAUGUCAGCCUCGACUCCGCUUCUUUCUGAACUCGCUUGUUCUGCUUCGGGCUCCCAUGUCAGCAGUGUCGUGGAGAGCUCGUCCGUGUGAAGGGACAGCAUCCCGGCCAGGCCAUGGAUGGUGGCCCGGGAGGAGGAAGUGUGAGCGGGUCAAGAGAGAGAGAAGGCAUGAGAGAGGCACUCUGCUCGGAUGACACAGCCCACACUGUUUUGCCACAGAUUUGUGGUGUAUCACAGCUCGAGGGAGUCCUGGAGGCCACCCAGGCCAGGGUUUCUCAUGUUGUUGACCAUGUGCACCAGGAGGUGAGGCCUGGGAAUCCACCUACUUAGUGGCUCAGGAGAGCUGGCCCAAUAACCAGCUGGUACAGAGGCCUCAUUUCAUCGAGGAGCAGUCUGGACUGGAGAGGCCACAGGACUCGGAACAGCACCAGAUUGAAAGCAGAGCCCAUUUGAGACGUGGCUUAAAGAGGGACACCAUGCUGUCCAAACGUGGGUGUAGACAGAGCAGACACAGCCUCUUUUAUCUGCUUAUUGUGGCUCUGGGAAGACAGCUCCCCAACCCCUCCAUUCCUCUCUCAUUUGUUCAUCUUGAAACCCAUUAAGAGGGCACAAAACCUUUAUGUCACAGUGGGAGAUAAUAUGUGAAUGAUUCUUAGAAAGGUAAGAGGUAUAGGCUGGGCGCGGUGGCUCACGCCUGGAAUCCCAGCACUUUAGGAGGCCAAGGUGGGCGGAUCAUGAGGUCAGGAGAUCGAGACCAUCCUGGCUAACACGGUGAAACCCCGUCUCUACUACAAAUACAAAAAAAUUAGCCGGGCAUGGUGGCGGGCGCCUGUAGUCCCAGCUACUCGGGAGGCUGAGGCUGGAGAAUGGAGUGAACCCGGGAGGCGGAGCUUGCAGUGAGCCGAGAUUGCGCCACUGCACUCCAGCCUGGGCAACAGAGCGAAACUCCGUCUCAAAAAAAAAAAAAAAAAAAGAAAGAAAAAAAAGAAAGGUAAGAGGUAUAAAAUAUCCCCCAAGCUAAGGAGGCGCUGUAAUAGGCAGCUCUCCACUUUUGAGAAGAUUAGCUAUUGGAGGAAGAGGUGGCAUGAAACG